GACGGCCGUAUCACGUUUAAAUCUUGGUUCUCGUCCAAUCACCGAAGUUAAACAACGUUGGACCUGGUUAGUACCUAGAUAGGUGACCGCUUGAGAUUAUUAAGUGCUGCAAGC